UACGGAAGGCAGCAGUGGGGAAUAUUGCACAAUGGGCGCAAGCCUGAUGCAGCCAUGCCGCGUGUAUGAAGAAGGCCUUCGGGUUGUAAAGUACUUUCAGCGGGGAGGAAGGCGAUGCGGUUAAUAACCGCGUCGAUUGACGUUACCCGCAGAAGAAGCACCGGCUAACUCCGUGCCAGCAGCCGCGGUAAUACGGAGGGUGCAAGCGUUAAUCGGAAUUACUGGGCGUAAAGCGCACGCAGGCGGUCUGUUAAGUCAGAUGUGAAAUCCCCGGGCUUAACCUGGGAACUGCAUUUUGAACUGGCAGGCUUGAGUCUUGUAGAGGGGGUGAAUUCCAGGUGUAGCGGUGAAAUGCGUAGAGAUCUGGAGGAAUACCGGUGGCGAAGGCGGCCCCUGGGACAAGACUGACGCUCAGGUGCGAAAGCGUGGGGAGCGAAACAGGGAUUAGGAUACC
rnacentral:rRNA from 1 species